rnacentral:ncRNA from 1 species
UUACCCGGGGAGGUCUCCGAGGCGAGAGUCUGGGAGAAGUCAGCAGAGGCCAUGGUAGCGAAGAAACCUGGUAAUGCGGGUGAAGCGAAGGGC